CAGUAGCCACGGGAACACGUAGGGGGCAAGCGCUGUCCGGAAUCAUUGGGCGUAAAGCGCGUGUAGGCGGCUCGAUAAGUCUGCCGUGAAAGUUCAGGGCUCAACCCUGAAAUGCCGGUGGAAACUGUCGAGCUUGAGUCCGGAAGAGGCAAGUGGAAUUCCUGGUGUAGCGGUGAAAUGCGCAGAUAUCAGGAGGAACACCAAUGGCGAAGGCAGCUUGCUGGGACGGUACUGACGCUGAGACGCGAAAGCGUGGGGAGCAAACAGGAUUAGAUACCCCUGUAGUCCCUGUCUCUUAUAC
rnacentral:rRNA from 1 species